UUGAACGCUGGCGGCAGGCCUAACACAUGCCAGUCGAGCGGAUGAAGGGAGCUUGCUCCUGGAUUCAGCGGCGGACGGGUGAGUAAUGCCUAGGAUUCUGCCUGGUAGUGGGGGAUAACGUCCGGAAACGGGCGCUAAUACCGCUACCGUCCUGUGGGAGAAAGUGGGGGAUUUUCGGACCUCACGCUAUCAGAUGAGCCUAGGUCGGAUUAGCUAGUUGGUGGGGUAAAGGCCUACCAAGGCGACGAUCCGUAACUGGUCUGAGAGGAUGAUCAGUCACACUGGAACUGAGACACGGUCCAGACUCCUACGGGAGGCAGCAGUGGGGAAUAUUGGACAAUGGGCGAAAGCCUGAUCCAGCCAUGCCGCGUGUGUGAAGAAGGUCUUCGGAUUGUAAAGCACUUUAAGUUGGGAGGAAGGGCAGUAAGUUAAUACCUUGCUGUUUUGACGUUACCAACAGAAUAAGCACCGGCUAACUUCGUG
rnacentral:rRNA from 1 species